rnacentral:rRNA from 1 species
AGAGUUUGAUCCUGGCUCAGAAUGAACGCUGGCGGCAUGGAUUAGGCAUGCAAGUCGAACGGGGCGCCCUCGGGCGCCCAGUGGCGAAAGGGUGAGUAACACGUGAGCAACCUGCCCCCGAGUCCGGAAUAAGCGGUGGAAACGCCGUCUAAUGCCGGAUGCGGACCCUGGCCUCCUGGCCUUGGCUCCAAAGAUUCAUCGCUCGGGGAUGGGCUCGCGGCCCAUUAGCUAGUUGGCGGGGUAACGGCCCACCAAGGCUCUGACGGGUAGGUGGUCUGAGAGGAUGGUCACCCACACUGGGACUGAGACACUGCCCAGACUCCUACGGGAGGCUGCAGUCGAGAAUCUUCCGCAAUGGGCGCAAGCCUGACGGAGCGAUGCCGCGUGAGGGAAGAAUGCCUUCGGGUUGUAAACCUCUGUCACCCGGGACGAACGAAUUGACGGUACCGGGGGAGGAAGUCACGGCUAACUACGUGCCAGCAGCCGCGGUAACACGUAGGUGGCGAGCGUUAUUCGGAUUCACUGGGCGUAAAGGGUCCGCAGGGUGCCUGCCAAGUCUGCCGUGAAAUCCCGGGGCUCAACCCCGGGCCUGCGGUGGAGACUGGCGGGCUGGAGUUCGCGAUGGGCAGACGGAACACCUGGUGUAGCGGUGGAAUGCGUGGAUAUCAGGUGGAACACCGAUGGCGAAGGCGGUCUGCUGGCGCGCUACUGACCCUCAUGGACGAAAGCGUGGGUAGCAAACAGGAUUAGAUACCCUGGUAGUCCACGCC